CAGCAUCGAAAGGAAAGGAGAAAGUCAUUGAGGACUAAAACGGGAGAAUUACGGUUAGUAGAAGUCAAGUGUCCCGACUCAGCAUCCAGAACAAUCCCGACUCCAACACAAACUUGGUGAUGUAUAUUUUUCUUUUGGGUAAAGGUGGCAUGUACAUAGGUGUUGCUUAGUCACUUGAAUAUGUAUAUUACUUUGAGUAGUGAAGGAUGAAUUAUAAGAUUUAGAUGGUUAAAUGAAAUGGUAAGGAAAGUACAUGAUAUUUUGAUACAUGAACAUUAAGUUGUUAAAUGAAUAAAGUUUAUAAUCAA